rnacentral:snoRNA from 14 species
GGAGAAGCGAAGUGAUGAGCAUUACUAGCUGGAGCCCCAAAGAGGCACGUGUGUGUGUGUGUGUGUGUAUCUGUAUCCUUGUCUGUGCAUGCACACGUGUGUCUGGGAGUGUGAAUGUGUGUGACUGGUUGUAGGGAACUAGUUAUGUGCCUUGUGUUGGACCAUGACAGUCAAACUGAUAAGAUCUGAUUGCUUC